rnacentral:rRNA from 1 species
CAGCCGCCGCGGGAAAACGAAGGGGGCUAGCGUUGCUCGGAAUGACUGGGCGUAAAGGGCGCGUAGGCGGCUUGUACAGUCAGAUGUGAAAUUCCUGGGCUCAACCUGGGGACUGCAUUUGAUACUGUUUGGCUUGAGUUCGGGAGAGGUGAGUGGAAUUCCCAGUGUAGAGGUGAAAUUCGUAGAUAUUGGGAAGAACACCGGUGGCGAAGGCGGCAACCUGGUCCUUGACUGACGCUGAGGCGCGAAAGCGUGGGGAGCAAACAGGAUUAGAUACCCCUGUAGUCCCUGUCUCUUAUAC